UGGCAUGCGGCGGCAGCGGCGACGGCUGGCACGGCUGCGGCGACAGCGGCAACGGCUGGCAUGACAGCGACUGCGGCGGACUACAUCACCCUCCAAGAGAAGGAGCUCGCUCGGCAGCAGCCUCCAUUGGCAGUUGUUCAUCCUCUCAUUGAUUGGAUCCAGUCUUCUGAGAAUUAGUAUUCAAUCUGCUGUAGAUCUUUUGAGAAACACAAAAGAGGAUCCGAUGUAAUACAAAAGGAGCAUGAUCCAUUUUAUUCCAGAGGUACGUUCAUGUGUUAUCAGUUGGGGUCCAGCUUUCAUUCUGACGACAACUUCUCCAUCUCCCCAACAACAAACAGUAUUUCUUGUGGAUAAGUGGCGGAGGGCGGAGGGCGGAGGCCACGGUACACAUGAUGUUCUUGGUCACCGACCAUCCUCUAGGUGUUGACCUGAAUAGCAUCGAUGGCCAAGGGUGCAGCGCAAAGAUGACAGCGGCCGAUGGCGGUCUGACCUCCUGUAAUCAAGCACAUGUCGUGACGCAAACUUGAACGUGUUCACAUAGCCACCGCUGAUGCAUAUACAUGAAUGCUUUAUCAUGUACUGUAUGAAUGGAACGACUAUAGCAGGUUUCUUUGCACUUUUGCAAACAAGCCAUUUUUGUUACCAGUGAUCAAACAUGUGCAUACUUCUUCUUACGUGUAUACAUAUACUCUUUUUUGGUGAAUAAAUUCUUAUGCGAGCUUACCAUA